AGAUGUUUUCUGAAUUAUUUUGUUUUUUAGAUUUGCAUUUGUAAUUUGUUAUUUUGUUUUCAUAAUUGUAAUCUGUUUUGCCCUCCUCGGCCACGGUACUUUUCCCCCCUGGAAUGUAAUCCAGAAAGCUGGGUUAAUUUACCAACAGAUUAACCCUGAACUCUGGGUUGAUUAACCCAAAACCUGCUUACUCGGGGUAUGUCGGUUCCAAAACACCUGUGUCAAGUUAGUUUAAUCAACCUACUGCUAAUAACCCUGAGUUAAUGCACGCGCACAGCGAACAUAUAAAGGCAUUUUCAAUGGAACGCCGAAUUCAGGCGUUACCAUGGGAACUAAGGGCCAAAAGUUACGUGCCGCGUACUUCUCCGAAGCGGAGUUAGAAGUUUUAAUGUUGGCUUAUGAGGAGUUCAAGCCCAUUAUAAUGAAAAAAGCAAUACAGCUGCAUAUGCGAGGGAAAGACAAUUGGCUUGGCAAAAAAUAACUGACAGAGUAAAUGCGUAAGUUUUUUUAUUAUUAUUAUUACAUUUUAAAUAUGCUUGCCUUUCUUUUGUUAAUUUGCAAAGUUGAACAAUUGUCUUUUUGAGCAUGUGGCAUGACUCGAAAAGCAUUUACUUUUCUCUACAUUAGUUUCUUAAGAAUACAGUGCAAUGUAUAUUGACAAGAAAUAUUUAGGCCUCUCGUUUUAUAAGCUGUAAUCCUUCUGGAGCCAAAAUAACUCUUUCCCAAGUCAAAAUGAAACCCAAAAACAUUCUCCAAAAAGGUAAUAUUUUAUUUUAACUGUUGUAAGAUCAAUGUCUUAAGUUACUUUUACAGUAUUCUUCCUAUAUAGCUAAUAGAAAGAAGGCUGAGGCCCAUCUAACUGCCAGGGGUCCACCUCCUCUCACACCGUCUGAGGAGCUCUAUCACUUAAUAAAGGUCGCCCUGUGGUCGAUGGUAUUCCAAAGGGCACUUUGUCAGACUUCGCUACCUCCCACAACAACUCAAGUGACUUGGUACAAUUUGCUGAUGGACGCAUUGUAUUAUUGGAUCCUCCUGAAACCACACAGUCUGUCACAAUUGAUGAUGGUGAUGAUGAUGAUGAAGAGACCACAUCUGCUGUGACUGAAUUAGAAAGUGAUGGGAGACCCACAGAGAAUCUAGCUGGGGAUGUACAUGCAGAUGAGGGUCCAUCUACCUCUACACAUAAUCUUAGCAGUGUAAGAACUUGUCCCUGGUUGUCCUUAUUUACAUAAUGUUACUAUGUGGCAGAUUUUCUUCUUUAACCAUCUUAUUUACUUUGCCUUCCUAGUUGUCUGCAAAGGAGCUGUAUAAGGUCCAUCUAUAAAGGCAAAUUAAAAAAAACUGACAUGGACAUGGACCUUAUACAGCUUCAGCUAGAGGAGAAAAGGCUGGCCAUUAAAAAGGCCAAACUUGAAAUAGAACUACUGGAGCAUCGCCUUAAGGAUAUGAAGAAAUGGAACACAUUAAAUAAAGUGAUUUUGACAAAUCAUGUCUCUAAGCAUUCUGCUCUGUGGUCUGCUAGAUUCAAUGGGUGUUGUUCUAGGUCAUCUUCAUCAGGACAGGUCACAUGCCCUAUUUGGAGUGACCCUGAGCCCACGCAGACACUGAAACCUCGCCUUCAGAGUGCCUAUUGUCAUCUCCACCUUGGCCUGUGUUCUGCUGUGAGACCGGUCUGUCCCCCAGCAAGUAACCAUAGAAGUGUCCUGUAAUGUUUGAGGUGUUUUGUAAAUGUAAUAAAGACUACAAGCAUUUGUCUAA